UUCAUGGAGAGUUUGAUCCUGGCUCAGGACGAACGCUGGCGGCGUGCCUAAUACAUGCAAGUCGAGCGGACCGACGGGAGCUUGCUCCCUUAGGUCAGCGGCGGACGGGUGAGUAACACGUGGGUAACCUGCCUGUAAGACUGGGAUAACUCCGGGAAACCGGGGCUAAUACCGGAUGCUUGAUUGAACCGCAUGGUUCAAUCAUGAAAGGCGGCUUCGGCUGCCGUUUACAGAUGGACCCGCGGCGCAUUAGCUAGUUGGUGAGGUAACGGCUCACCAAGGCGACGAUGCGUAGCCGACCUGAGAGGGUGAUCGGCCACACUGGGACUGAGACACGGCCCAGACUCCUACGGGAGGCAGCAGUAGGGAAUCUUCCGCAAUGGACGAAAGUCUGACGGAGCAACGCCGCGUGAGUGAUGAAGGUUUUCGGAUCGUAAAGCUCUGUUGUUAGGGAAGAACAAGUACCGUUCGAAUAGGGCGGUACC
rnacentral:rRNA from 1 species